CAUCUUUUGACCCGGUGCUGAGAAGGCUCCUUGCUAUUCAAAGGAUAGAAAGAUAAGGAUCAGCCAGGGUUUCUUUUUCGAGUCUCCCAACGUAUAUUUCUCUGUGACAGCUUAAUUCAAAAUGCUCAUUAGUGAGCCUGUAGUGAUAAUUUAAAUUAAAGGGGGACACACACAUCCUUUUGACUUCAAAGAGUAGAGAAAUCUGUAUGUAUGAAAACAGAUGAUUUGUUACCUUGUCAAAAUGUCAGAAAAAGAUAAGCUAGGUAGUACUCUGCUUGUGGAUACAAAGCUGAUAUCAGAGAGAAACACUUGCUUAUAAUUUGAAGAAAUCCACUCUGUAGCCCAAGAGAGGAAAAUGUCAACCUGCAAUAUUUGGGUGACAUGGAAAUGGAAAAAGGGUGGAAUAUCUCCAAAAGAAACAUGAGAAGUCACAGAGAAGAUUCCUUACUUGCUUCCGGACAUCAUCUUUUGUUGUUUUCCGAGCUGGUUGGGAGGGCAUAUGUACAGGACUUUGGGACUGACUGUCUUCUGUAACUCCGAAUCUUGCCUUUUUGACCCUCUGUGGAUUUUUCAUACGCCGACACUUUCUGAUGUCCAUCUCUGUUGUGUUCACGCAGCCCGGC